UAUCACCUUGUCACCUAGUGAUGUGCUGCUGUCCUAACACUGUGGGACCAUUUCUCGUGUGUUGGUUGUGAUGCUGAUGUAAACCAACCCACAGUUGCCAAGGCACAGGAAAGGACAGCACGUACGAUUCCGUACGGGACGUGACACUUGAUAAGGAUCCUGAAGGACUGGGUUACAGCCUGUGUGUUUGCUAUAUCAUACUUGGUUAUUUUACAGUGCACUCCGUCCACUUAUUUAAAAAACAACAACGGGUUGCUGUGAAACGGUACGCCCUGUUUUGCUGGCAGCAGCCCUUGCACAUCUCCUGUUGACUGCGUCUCUGGAUUGCAUCAAGAGGCCACGUCCAGCGCCUGACCUACCCCCAUCCAGAUCUGUGGAACCCUUCAAAAGAAAGGAUCAAGUCCAAUCAACUGCAUUUAUAGAGAAGAUCCACAGCCCAGGGGUGUCUGCAUCUGGCCUAGCGUGUUACAGCAUCAGAGUGGCUUUGUACAGCUGACGCCAGUCUCCUACUCCAAGUCCAGUACCCUUGACUUCAAGAUGUGGGCUCACAGGAAAGGAGAGAGAGCCAGCUCGGCUACACACAUCCUCUGGGAGGACGACUGUCAACAAUUAGCUGAGAUGCUGAAGCGCUGAAGCGCAGGGCCGGCUGGAGGCGGUCUGCAGCUGGCUGGCGGCUCUGGGGCCUCGAAGCCCUUCCUACCCCUGGAUCCCAGCUUCGCUGCUCUUUGUGACCUUGGAUGGAUCACUCUGCCUUCCAGCCUCAGUUUCCUGGAUGUAAAAAUGGACAAGAUAAAACCUUCCCCCAGGGUCAUUCAGGUCUAGGUGUAGCCAGGUCUACGAACAAACGCUCAGCACAGUACCCGUGUUGGAGAUGCUGUCAUUACGGCCCUGGAGGCUGGGGCAACGGAAGCCAGCAAAGUAGUCCCGGGGCUCCGGUGACCCUGCCCUUGGGCUGCUGAGGUUCCUCCUUCUUACUUUGGAAUCAUGGGGAAGGUGUGGCGAUAUUCCAAGUUUAGGGCAAUGCUGGCCUAAAGCCCUUGGAACCUCAUUUUAUAGACGGGGAAACUGAUGCUCACAAAGUGAUGUGCUCAGCUGUGAACCAGCAAUGACCCUGGACAGAUAAUCACGGUUCUCCCAGUUCCGCGAUGGAAUAAGCUGACAAAGGACACCGUGGCAGGAACAUCCAAAGGCAGAGGGACAUCGGGAGCUUCAUGGCCGCCCCUCCCCACCCCUCCGUGCUGGGAGAAGCCUUCGACAGGGAGCUGCUUCUGGGCCUCACCAGCCUCCAAAUUAUUCCAGGCAAUGAAUGAGGAGGACCAGGAGACCAGCCCCACGCCUUUGAAUACGAGAAAACAAGGAGGCUGUGUCCGAGAGUCCUUCUUCCUCCACCCAGGGGCAGAGAUCAUGUCACAUCUUGGACGCGUAGUUUUACUGAUGGAAGGCUGGUUUCUGUCAUUCAUUCACACAAUAGUCACUUCCUGAACACGUGGCUCUCUACCAGACAGAGCAUGAUGCAGGGGAUGAGUAAAGCAAAGGGAAGUGUGGAUAUGACGGGGAGAGGGGAGCAGUCUGACGUGACAUGAAAGCAGGAAGCCUUGCGCUUGGAUGCAGACACCUACAUGAGGGUUCGAUCGCUGCCUGGUUGUGCACUUACACACAGACACCUACACCGUGCUUCUGGGAGGCGGGGUUCGCCCAGGCCUCGUGAAACAGGCCACAGAGUCUGCUGGUCACGGUCAAUAUUGCUUCAAAACUGUGAUCAUUUAACCAUCAGGACUGUCCCCACUCUUAAUUGUAACUAAUGUCCUGAGUCAGAGCUUCAUGGCCUCCCUGCAGAUCUUUCCUGUUUCUGCCGCCCUGGAGAGACACAGUGUGGAUUUUACCUAGAAAUACAGCCACGGCCCCCUGGGGGCAGGUAGGAGGAGAGAGAGCCAGGAGGUUCUCAGCUCUGGCUGGGCCCAUUUUCCAGGUGACCCCCUCACAGCUCGUGUGGGGUUCUUAGCCCUCAUCUGCUGGCCUGGGCUUCCUCCUGCCUCAGAUACCUGAGGACAGGGGCUCUGGAGGACCAAGGGAGGCGAUUUGGCUCAGGAACUUUGUCCUUUCCUAUUCUCUUGUUUUGGGUCAGAUGACGUGGCUCCAAAUACCACCCAAAGGUGAAACACUGAGUUCCCUCCCCGUCCAGAGGACUCUGGGGAAUGAAAAUGAAACCAAUCCCAUCUUGGGGCUGCUGAAGCCCUGGGGCCUCUGGGUUUGCGUGGAUAGUUUUUAAUUCCAACCAGAGGAGGGACCAGAUGCUGUGGUCCAAGUGGAGAAGACCAAAGGCUGAAGCCGGGAUAAAAGUCGGAGUUGGUAAAGUCCUGUGGGGCCUUGAGGGAGAACCCCAGCCUGUCUGUAUGUUCCCAGCUCGCUUGUAUGUCCCUUGUCAUUCACACCUGGACGGUCCAAGAAAAAAAAAAGCCCUGAUUUGUAGGCGUGGCCAAUGUCCCUGGUGUGAAUGCUCCCACUGGGGCCAACUGCACUGGAGCGCUGAGGGCGGGGUUAGGAAGACAUGCGCAUGCUCAGUUCUUGCAAUUCAUGGGCAGCAGGUCCAGUCCUCUGCCGACCAGGACCCUGUACUCAGUGGGCCUCCCUCCCCCUUCACAGCCUUUACCCUGGGCCCAUCCUGCGACCCGAGAGCUCUUCUUCUGAAGCCCCCGACGGUGAGGGUGCUUCCCGGUCACAAGCUGUCAGCGGUCCUCGGUUGUCGAAGAUCAAAGCCAAUCCUCCUACGCACCGGCCGCUGUCCCCUGUGCUGGAGAUGCAGCCUGAGCAAGACAGAUGACAUUUGCCCUCCUGGGGCUGGCGGGGGGAGAAAUAAGCCACGGGAUGACUGGCAAGUGGAUGCCAUGGAGCAAAAGCCAUCGGAGAAAGUCAAAGCCGGAGGGAGAUAUGGGCUUCCAGUUUGAUGGGAAUGGCUGGGCGGGCAUCUCUGAAGAGGGGGACAUGGGUGCGGGAGAAGUCUCCUCCACCGGCCUGCUCCUCGCCUGACCUCAGACCUGGCCCCACUGAUGAUCUCUCAUGGUCCCACCUGGGCAACCUGUCCUUCUGUAGGAACCUCAUGAACACACUUGAGGAGAGGACCCGCCUUGACCUUGGCUCUCUCCUUGGGGGCUCUUCCUGGCUCCUGUAGCACUGAAGAAGAGCGUGCAGGUGGGUCUGCACUCCUGCUCCCAGUCCUGCUUCCUUCUUGCUGACAUCAGUCUCCAUUAAAUCGGGUCUCCACUGCUGAGAGCCAUAGCCCAGUCAGAAGGAUGCAUGACAUUUUUGCCAGAGGAGUGGUUGAGAGGUGACGCCAGCAAGCCAUUGAGAUGAUGAUGGUUAUGUUAAGCUGUGUAUUCAAUUUUGUAAUAUUGGACCCCUGCUGUCCGCCUUGGCCUGCUAC